rnacentral:rRNA from 1 species
GUGGGGAAUAUUGCACAAUGGGGGAAACCCUGAUGCAGCGACGCCGCGUGAGUGAAGAAGUAUUUCGGUACGUAAAGCUCUAUCAGCAAGGAAGAAAAUGACGGUACUUGACUAAGAAGCCCCGGCUAACUACGUGCCAGCAGCCGCGGUACUACGUAGGGGGCAAGCGUUAUCCGGAUUUACUGGGUGUAAAGGGAGCGUAGACGGUAUGGUAAGUCAGAUGUGAAAGCCCGGGGCUCAACCCCGGGACUGCAUUUGAAACUAUCAGACUAGAGUGCAGGAGAUGUAAGUGGAAUUCCUAGUGUAGCGGUGAAAUGCGUAGAUAUUAGGAGGAACACCAGUGGCGAAGGCGGCUUACUGGACUGUAACUGACGUUGAGGCUCGAAAGCGUGGGGAGCAAACAGGAUUAGAAACCCGUGUAGUCC